CCCCAGCCCCCCACUGGACACGCACCAGCACUCCACGAUUCCAGUGCACCCCCCGAUGGGCUUCACCCCACCCCACCUGUCCCCACACCACAGUAAGAGAGGGAGAGAGAGAUAGGGAGGAUGGAGAAAGAGAGAGGAUGGAGUGAGAAAUGGAGACAGGAUCUUUUAGUGAUAAACAGUGGCAGAGUAAGUUACAGGAAUAGAAUCUGACUGAGCGAUAUGAUCGACCAGUGAUGUUGUCUGUUUGACUCUAACAAACUUAAAGAGGAAAGAGCAGGAAGUAAUGGAGAUAUGUCAAACUCAUUGCUCCCUGAAAGGAAGGAUCAUCGGGAAACAAAAAAUCUAAACUUAGGACAGAGUACGUGAAAGUAUUAUGUAUGAAAACAUAGUAAAAGACUGCAGGGAAGUGUUCAGGGUUUUUUUGUUUUGUAUUUUUAAUGAACUGCUGCUCUCUUGAAGUCCAUCAGGAAAUGAGAGCUCACCCCAGUCUCGCUCCUGAAAAAACCCUGCAGCAAUCCUGAACAGCUCUCUUUUGACCAAUCCAAGUGCUGUCAUGUGAUUACAAGCAGUUUUUUUUGCUUCUGUGUUAAUGAAAAGUUUGGUUAAUAUGUGGCCGUGUACAAAUAGAAAAAAGAAACAUCCUCUUGCUAUACAGUUUAGCUAUUACUAUUAAUAACAUAAUCUGUGGCACAGAACUUUCUUCCAGUCUGAUUAACUGUGCUGAAAAACAACAUACAGGAUGCAAGAAAUCUGUGUUUGUGUGGGAGCGGCAUAUUUUAACACACUGAACAGUAUCCUUCAGUCAGUAUUCUGCCGUGCACAGUGUUAUGGCACCGGCCCUGUCAUAAAGUGUUCCCUGAAUCUGUCCCCCAUAACCCAACCUUCUGUCUCUCAUAACCCAACCUCUCCCCCAUAACCUAACCUUCCGUCUCUCAUAACCCAACCUGUACCCAUAACUCAACCUUCCGGCUCUCAUAACCCAACCGGUCUCCCAUAACUCAACCUUCCGUCUCUCAUAACCCAACCUGUCCCCCAUAACCCAACCAUCCGUCUCUCAUAACCCAACCUGUCCCUCAAAACCCAACCUUCCGUCUCUCAUAACCCAACCUGUCCCUCAUAAUCCAACCUUCCAUCUCUCUUAACCCAAUCUUCCGUCUCUCAUAACCCAACCUGUCCCCCAUAACCCAACCUUCCGUCACUCAUAACCCAACCUGUCACCAUAACCCAACCUUCCAUCUCUCAUAACCCAACCUGUCCCCAUAACCCAACCUUCCAUUUCUCAUAACCCAACUUGUCCCCCGUAACCCAACCUUUUGUCUCUCAUAACCCAACCUUCCGUCUCUCAUAACCCAACCUGUCCCUCAAAACCCAACCUUCCAUCUCUUCUGGCGUUGGGAGACAGACAAAAGGAUGAGUGAUGUGGACUGAUAUCAAAAACCAUAAUGUGCUCCGUCUUGUUACAGGCAGAAACCUGCAUUGAUGUAAUGGAAAGCAGUCAUAAUGCCGUUAGUAUUAUGGGGAGGAGGGUGGGGAAGGGUGUAGCGGGUAUUCAAUUUUUGGCCAACAAAUGUCCAGAAGUAUGUAGUCGGGUUAAAAAUGAAACAGCACUUUGAAUUGUUUUUUUUUCCUGAGACUGGAAAAAUGAAAUGUUUUUUAAAUAGAAUUCCUGGAACUGAAGAAGCACUUAAAACAGAUACUGAUAAAAAAGUGUUACAAAUCAUAAUGGUGAUUUUGUGUAUUAUAUGAGUUUUUUUAUGUUUUGAAAUGGGGCCAGUUGUAACUGCUUGAAGUGGUUGGUCAUUUGUUCCAUUGGGAGAGUGCAAGUUACAUUUGCCUGGUUUCUGUGAACAGACAUUUAGAGAAGGUUUUAGCUGUGCCUGCCUGGGCCAAAGAUACGCCAUUGCAGGAGAUUCUCCUGGAGCAGGGCAAUCUCAGUAUCGCUUUUAGUCAGCAGCAUUGAAUGUAUCCAAAAAAAAAAACAGGAGCAGUCAACUAUCCAGUGCACCCACAACCAUCCAUAGAUUGUACGAAGUGAGCAGUCCCCAGUUUGGCUCAAGCUGAAAAAACUGCCAACUGAUUGGGUUUUUGAUGUAUAGCUAUGUAAAUGUAAUAGCUAUGUUUCCAUUAAGAUGUAUUUAUGUAACUAUAGGAUGCCAAAUCACAAUUUGCUGUGAUUUCCCUACUGGAAUUGUCACUGUGUGCAUAAAUAUGAAAGACCUUAAAUUUGAUUAAUACUAAUUUGUUUGUUCUAGCAAAUCUGAAUAACUCGUGUUAUAAAGUUAAGGUAAAUGGAAUUGGUAACAGUUUUUACAAAACCUAUCCACUGCAUGUUUGUCUGAAAAAAAAAAAAAAAAAAUCCACCCUUCUCUCGGCACGUUUUUACGCUUUCGGUGGUGGUUUCACGCU